rnacentral:rRNA from 1 species
UUGGUUAAGCUAAUAAGAGCGCAGGGUGGAUGCCUUGGCACUAAGAGCCGAUGAAAGACGUGA